rnacentral:rRNA from 1 species
AACGAACGCGGGCGGCGUGCUUAACACAUGCAAGUCGAACGCGAAAGUUUUCUUCGGAAGACGAGUAGAGUGGCGCACGGGUGAGUAACGCGUAAGUUAUCUACCUCGGCAUCUGGAAUAACUCACCGAAAGGUGUGCUAAUACCGGAUACGUUGAGUAAUCAAGAAAGGUGGCCUCUGAAUAUGCUACUGUGCUGAGAUGAGCUUGCGUACCAUUAGCUAGUUGGUAGGGUAAUGGCCUACCAAGGCGACGAUGGUUAGCGGGUCUGAGAGGAUGAUCCGCCACACUGGAACUGGAACACGGACCAGACUCCUACGGGAGGCAGCAGUGAGGAAUAUUGCGCAAUGGGGGCAACCCUGACGCAGCGACGCCGCAUGGAUGAUGAAGGCCUUCGGGUCGUAAAAUCCUGUCAAGUGGAAAGAAGUGCAUGGUGGAUAAUACCCAUCAUGUUUGACGGUACCACUGAAGGAAGCACCGGCUAACUCCGUGCCAGCAGCCGCGGUAAUACGGAGGGUGCAAGCGUUGUUCGGAAUUACUGGGCGUAAAGCGCGCGUAGGCGGUUUUAUAAGUCAGAUGUGAAAGCCCAGGGCUCAACCCUGGACGUGCAUUUGAAACUGUGAGACUUGAGUAUUGGAGGGGGUGGUGGAAUUCCCGGUGUAGAGGUGAAAUUCGUAGAUAUCGGGAGGAAUACCAGUGGCGAAGGCGACCACCUGGCCAAAUACUGACGCUAAGGUGCGAAAGCGUGGGGAGCAAACAGGAUUAGAUACCCUGGUAGUCCACGCCGUAAACGAUGUCAACUAGGUGUUGGGACGGUUAAUCGUCUCAUUGCCGCAGCUAACGCAUUAAGUUGACCGCCUGGGGAGUACGGUCGCAAGAUUA